rnacentral:rRNA from 1 species
CACGGUGCCGCGUCCUAUAAUGCAGUCGACGAGGAGUCUGCGUAUUCGUACAAAGGCUUCCUAGUGGCGAACGGGUGAGUAACGCGUUGGUGACCUGCCCCAAAGUAGGGGAUAACUCCGGGAAACUGGAGCUAAUACCCCAUGUGGUCCAGCCGAUUAGAUGCGGCCGGUCUAAAGGAGCAAUUCGCUUUGGGAGGGACCUGCGUCCCAUCAGCUAGUUGGUAGGGUAACGGCCUACCAAGGCUUCGACGGGUAGGGGGCCUGAGAGGGUGGCCCCCCACAAUGGAACUGAAACACGGUCCAUACACCUACGGGUGGCAGCAGUAGGGAAUAUUGCACAAUGGGCGAAAGUCUGAUGCAGCAACGCCGCGUGCGCGAUGAAGGCCUUCGGGUCGUAAAGCGCUUUUCUGAGGGAAGAGAAAGGACUGUACCUCAGGAAUAAGUCUCGGCUAACUACGUGCCAGCAGCCGCGGUAAUACGUAGGAGGCAAGCGUUAUCCGGAUUUACUGGGCGUAAAGCGCGUGCAGGUGGUUUGGUAAGUUGGAUGUGAAAUCUCCUGGCUCAACCGGGAGGAGUCGUUCAAAACUGCCAGACUCGAGGACGGUAGAGGAGAGUGGAAUUCCCGGUGUAGUGGUGAAAUGCGUAGAUAUCGGGAGGAACACCAGUGGCGAAAGCGGCUCUCUGGGCCGUUCCUGACACUCAGACGCGAAAGCGUGGGUAGCGAACGGGAUUAGAAACCCCGGUAGUCCACGCUGUAAACGAUGCGAACCUGGUGUUGGUGGCGUAAAAACCUUCAGUGCCGAAGCUAACGCGAUAAGUUCGUCGCCUGGGGACUACGAUCGCAAGAUUAAAACUCAAAGGAAUUGACGG